rnacentral:rRNA from 1 species
CAGUAGCGGCGAGCGAACGGGGAGCAGCCCAGAGCCUGAAUCAGUGUGUGUGUUAGUGGAAGCGUCUGGAAAGGCGCGCGAUACAGGGUGACAGCCCCGUACACAAAAAUGCACAUGCUGUGAGCUCGAUGAGUAGGGCGGGACACGUGGUAUCCUGUCUGAAUAUGGGGGGACCAUCCUCCAAGGCUAAAUACUCCUGACUGACCGAUAGUGAACCAGUACCGUGAGGGAAAGGCGAAAAGAACCCCGGCGAGGGGAGUGAAAAAGAACCUGAAACCGUGUACGUACAAGCAGUGGGAGCCUCUUAAUGGGGUGACUGCGUACCUUUUGUAUAAUGGGUCAGCGACUUAUAUUCUGUAGCAAGGUUAACCGAAUAGGGGAGCCGAAGGGAAACCGAGUCUUAACUGGGCGUUAAGUUGCAGGGUAUAGACCCGAAACCCGGUGAUCUAGCCAUGGGCAGGUUGAAGGUUGGGUAACACUAACUGGAGGACCGAACCGACUAAUGUUGAAAAAUUAGCGGAUGACUUGUGGCUGGGGGUGAAAGGCCAAUCAAACCGGGAGAUAGCUGGUUCUCCCCGAAAGCUAUUUAGGUAGCGCCUCGUGAAUUCAUCUCCGGGGGUAGAGCACUGUUUCGGCAAGGGGGUCAUCCCGACUUACCAACCCGAUGCAAACUGCGAAUACCGGAGAAUGUUAUCACGGGAGACACACGGCGGGUGCUAACGUCCGUCGUGAAGAGGGAAACAACCCAGACCGCCAGCUAAGGUCCCAAAGUCAUGGUUAAGUGGGAAACGAUGUGGGAAGGCCCAGACAGCCAGGAUGUUGGCUUAGAAGCAGCCAUCAUUUAAAGAAAGCGUAAUAGCUCACUGGUCGAGUCGGCCUGCGCGGAAGAUGUAACGGGGCUAAACCAUGCACCGAAGCUGCGGCAGCGACACUAAGUGUUGUUGGGUAGGGGAGCGUUCUGUAAGCCUGUGAAGGUGUACUGUGAGGUAUGCUGGAGGUAUCAGAAGUGCGAAUGCUGACAUAAGUAACGAUAAAGCGGGUGAAAAGCCCGCUCGCCGGAAGACCAAGGGUUCCUGUCCAACGUUAAUCGGGGCAGGGUGAGUCGACCCCUAAGGCGAGGCCGAAAGGCGUAGUCGAUGGGAAACAGGUUAAUAUUCCUGUACUUGGUGUUACUGCGAAGGGGGGACGGAGAAGGCUAUGUUGGCCGGGCGACGGUUGUCCCGGUUUAAGCGUGUAGGCUGGUUUUCCAGGCAAAUCCGGAAAAUCAAGGCUGAGGCGUGAUGACGAGGCACUACGGUGCUGAAGCAACAAAUGCCCUGCUUCCAGGAAAAGCCUCUAAGCAUCAGGUAACAUCAAAUCGUACCCCAAACCGACACAGGUGGUCAGGUAGAGAAUACCAAGGCGCUUGAGAGAACUCGGGUGAAGGAACUAGGCAAAAUGGUGCCGUAACUUCGGGAGAAGGCACGCUGAUAUGUAGGUGAAGUCCCUCGCGGAUGGAGCUGAAAUCAGUCGAAGAUACCAGCUGGCUGCAACUGUUUAUUAAAAACACAGCACUGUGCAAACACGAAAGUGGACGUAUACGGUGUGACGCCUGCCCGGUGCCGGAAGGUUAAUUGAUGGGGUUAGCGGUAACGCGAAGCUCUUGAUCGAAGCCCCGGUAAACGGCGGCCGUAACUAUAACGGUCCUAAGGUAGCGAAAUUCCUUGUCGGGUAAGUUCCGACCUGCACGAAUGGCGUAAUGAUGGCCAGGCUGUCUCCACCCGAGACUCAGUGAAAUUGAACUCGCUGUGAAGAUGCAGUGUACCCGCGGCAAGACGGAAAGACCCCGUGAACCUUUACUAUAGCUUGACACUGAACAUUGAGCCUUGAUGUGUAGGAUAGGUGGGAGGCUUUGAAGUGUGGACGCCAGUCUGCAUGGAGCCGGCCUUGAAAUACCACCCUUUAAUGUUUGAUGUUCUAACGUUGGCCCCUGACCGGGGUUGCGGACAGUGUCUGGUGGGUAGUUUGACUGGGGCGGUCUCCUCCUAAAGAGUAACGGAGGAGCACGAAGGUUGGCUAAUCCUGGUCGGACAUCAGGAGGUUAGUGCAAUGGCAUAAGCCAGCUUGACUGCGAGCGUGACGGCGCGAGCAGGUGCGAAAGCAGGUCAUAGUGAUCCGGUGGUUCUGAAUGGAAGGGCCAUCGCUCAACGGAUAAAAGGUACUCCGGGGAUAACAGGCUGAUACCGCCCAAGAGUUCAUAUCGACGGCGGUGUUUGGCACCUCGAUGUCGGCUCAUCACAUCCUGGGGCUGAAGUAGGUCCCAAGGGUAUGGCUGUUCGCCAUUUAAAGUGGUACGCGAGCUGGGUUUAGAACGUCGUGAGACAGUUCGGUCCCUAUCUGCCGUGGGCGCUGGAGAACUGAGGGGGGCUGCUCCUAGUACGAGAGGACCGGAGUGGACGCAUCACUGGUGUUCGGGUUGUCAUGCCAAUGGCACUGCCCGGUAGCUAAAUGCGGAAGAGAUAAGUGCUGAAAGCAUCUAAGCACGAAACUUGCCCCGAGAUGAGUUCUCCCUGACUCCUUGAGAGUCCUGAAGGAACGUUGAAGACGACGACGUUGAUAGGCCGGGUGUGUAAGCGCAGCGAUGCGUUGAGCUAACCGGUACUAAUGAACCGUGAGGCUUAACCUU